rnacentral:rRNA from 1 species
CAGCCGCCGCGGUAAUACGAGGGGGGCAAGCGUUGUUCGGAAUUAUUGGGCGUAAAGGGUGCGUAGGCGGUUUGGCAAGUCUUGUGUGAAAUCUUCGGGCUCAACCCGAAGCCUGCACGAGAAACUGCCGGGCUUGAGUAUUGGAGAGGUGAGUAGAAUUUCCGGUGUAGCGGUGAAAUGCGUAGAUAUCGGAAGGAACACCUGUGGCGAAAGCGGCUCACUGGACAAUAACUGACGCUGAUGCACGAAAGCUAGGGGAGCAAACAGGAUUAGAUACCCCCGUAGUCCCUGUCUCUUAUAU